AUUGCUAUUCCGGAUCUCGAAGGAAAGAGCUACUUUUCUCUUGAAUGAAGGACAAAGAAAAGAGGAAGAAAAAGUGAGAGAGAAUGGCAAAGCAGCUACCGGAGAGUUCUUCAGGAGGAGGGACUAGUGGAGGAAGCAUCCUAGGCUUAGCGAUAAGCUCCACCAUGCCCUUCUCGAUCUUGGCCCUCGGAGUCGCCACCUUCGAUGUCUACCUGGUCGGCGAGCAAGUCUACAACAAACUCCUUGCUUCUUCCUGCUUCUUUGCUUCUUCUUCUUCUCACCACUUUUCCCAUUCCUCUACUUCUCAUUCAGACAACUAAAUCAACAACCUCAUCCAAUUUUCAUUUUGUUUUCUCGAAUUUUUUUUUUUUUUUUUGGUUUCUUUCCCAUUUGGAUCCUAAAUGGAAUUAGAAGCGGUUAUUAAAAUUUUCCUUUUCCCACAUUUUCUCAGCAAAUAAGUGUACCAUUUAAAAGAUCAAAUUCAUCAGCACCAUCGCCGAUUUAUGGUGCACGCUCUGAAUUCGAAUCUGCGAGACUAAAAAUGAUGCUGAAUCUGGUAAAAUCUCUCACUGAGCAAUGAGUUACAGAAGGUUGCAAAGUAUUUUGAUGCUACCAUUGCAAAGGGAGCAGAUGUGAAAUCGGCUGCCAACUGGAUUAUGGGUGAUAUUGCUGCCUAUAUGAAAAAUGAAAAGUUGACUAUUGAUGAGAUUAAGGUGACGCCUCAGGUUGGCUGAGUUGAUAGCUUCAAUACAAGCUGGUAUUAUUAGUGGGAAAAUUGGAAAAGAGAUAUUGUUUAAGCUAUUGGUCAAAGGUGGAACUGUCAAGGGACUCAUAGAAGAGAAGGAUUUGGUUCAGGCAAGUUAUUCAAAUAAGCUUUUGACAUAAAUUUAGGUUGUGCAAUUGCUCAUGUACGUUUAACAUUCAUAUAUUCUAUUUGUAAUAUUGCUCCACAUUAGUGCAAUUGUUAGAUCUAUGUAAGGUUUAGGUAAAAUUGUAGUUUGCUCUUUACCAUUGACCAUUAACAUCUAAAGCAUGUGGUGUUUGAGGUUCUUUAUUUGCUGCCAGUUGUCUUUUAUU